GGAGAGGAGGGGAAGAGGGUUUGUAAGUGCAGAGGGAGGUGAAGAAGGUGCAGUGGAGGCUUUGAGCAAGGAGGACAAGCAGGCAGCCUGGACCAGGUACCACCAGCAGCCCCGAGGGCAUCUGUUACUGUGGGUCAAGGGAAGGAAGAAGUGAGUCCUGCGGAGUCUGGAGAGCCCCCUGAGGUCAGCAUUGCUCCUGCAGGAGAUGAGCUUGCAGGUAAAAGAGCUGCCAGACCCACUGAAGGAGAAGCCCCAAGACUGGCUGCAGAAGGUCCAGUUGAUCAGGAGAAAACAAGUGAACUGGAGCUAAAACCCACCCAGAAACAGAAGAGGAAGAAAAAGAAAGCAAAGCAGAUGAGUGGUGCAGGAGACAGUGCUCAGCCAGAGAGAUCUGCGGAAACACUGUCCCUUCCUUCUCUGAUUGCCAAGGAAAUCCCAGGGAAGAAGGAGAAGGACUUGGUCUCGAGCACAGCAGAACCAGAACGUGGAACCAGCACCAGGAUUAUCUCUGAGGAAGAUAAAGAAAACCUCAGUGGGGCUCAGGUGUCCCCAGUCCCCCCAGGGCAAGAGGGAGCUCGAGAGGUGAUGGAAAGUGGGACCAGAAAUGGUUGGGAUUCCUCAGCAGCAUUGAGCCUGGAGGAGAGGAUGACCCAUGAAGACACCAAGGUGGAAGCCACCAGUGAUGUGUCCAUCACAGCCCCUGCAGCAGAUGAACUGCCCCAGGAAUUGCUUAUCAGAGAGGAACCCAGGGAGGCUGAGGAAACCUCUGCUGCAGUCCUUGAGCUUGGAGAAGACAAACAGCAAGAGCCAACACUGGAGGUCAGCACAGGCCAAGAAGAUGCCCCUGCUCCCACAGCAUCCCAAGGAGACACAGCCCAGGAGAGGAGCAGGCAGCCGGGUCCUGGCGACCGGAGCUUGCUGCUCCCUGUGAUAGUGGAGGGGGAGCUGCUGGAAACCUCGAGGGAAUCCACAAGACCAGCCCAGAUCAUGUUCAGCAAGAAGAUGUGUCUGGAGCACGACGAGAAGCUGAUAUCCUACCUGUCCAUGCUCCGAGAUGUCGAGAUGCGGAUCAAGCGGGUGCAGCCGGCGGAGCAGAGUUUGGCAGCUCUGCACGAGCUGCUGCAGCAGGCAGAGGUGAGCUGGGUUUGGGUGUCCUUAGGCAGGACGCAGCUCG
rnacentral:lncRNA from 14 species